GCGCGUCCACGAGAGGUCUCCAUGUUUUUGAACGAAUACAACGUCGCCCGGUUGGAAUAUUAUCGCAAUUUUACGAGAAAAAUCGCAUAAAAAUUGAUUUUAAACAGCGUUUGACAUGCUUCUAAGUACGGUAAUGGAAUAUUUUGAAACAACAUUUGUUGUUGAAGUAGAAGCCCUGGGAGUGCAUUCUGACGAAGAACAACAAAGGAAUCUACAUCUGAAGGCCUGGUACAAGCAAAACAUCUCUCCAACUACAGACGCCAGUGUCUCAGAUUGGAAUGUCCACAGUGCAAGGUGUUCUACAUUGGACGGACAAAGAGACGCCUUCAAGACCGCUUAGCGGAACACAAGUACGCCAUACAGCCACCCUCAGUGUUCCUCUGGAGAAGCCUUGGAUGAAUGAGACUGAGGGCAAUCACCCUAGUACCACCACCUCACUGAAGAACGAAGAAGGCAAGACUGUACAGUACCAGGGUCUAAAAGAGAGAGGUGACAUGAAUGAGUAGCGCCGAUGGCAGGUGGGUCACGAGAGAAAUCAAAG
rnacentral:lncRNA from 1 species